rnacentral:rRNA from 1 species
AUGCACGCUGGCGGCGUGCCUCAUCCAUGCAAGUCGAGCGAACAGACGAGGAGCUUGCUCCUCUGACGUUAGCGGCGGACGGGUGAGUAACACGUGGAUAACCUACCUAUAAGACUGGGAUAACUUCGGGAAACCGGAGCUAAUACCGGAUAAUAUAUUGAACCGCAUGGUUCAAUAGUGAAAGACGGUUUUGCUGUCACUUAUAGAUGGAUCCGCGCCGCAUUAGCUAGUUGGUAAGGUAACGGCUUACCAAGGCAACGAUGCGUAGCCGACCUGAGAGGGUGAUCGGCCACACUGGAACUGAGACACGGUCCAGACUCCUACGGGAGGCAGCAGUAGGGAAUCUUCCGCAAUGGGCGAAAGCUUGACGGAGCAACGCCGCGUGAGUGAUGAAGGUCUUCGGAUCGUAAAACUCUGUUAUUAGGGAAGAACAAAUGUGUAAGUAACUAUGCACGUCUUGACGGUACCUAAUCAGAAAGCCACGGCUAACUACGUG